CCUACGGGAGGCAGCAGUAGGGAAUUUUGCGCAAUGGACGAAAGUCUGACGCAGCAACGCCGCGUGAAGGAUGAAGGUUCUCGGAUUGUAAACUUCUGUUGAGUGGGAAGAAAAGCUCGCAAGAGUAUGACGGUACCACUUGAGUAAGCACCGGCUAACUACGUGCCAGCAGCCGCGGUAAU
rnacentral:rRNA from 1 species